AACAGACCUAUAUAAGUAAGUUCCUUACCGAGGCAUGCUCUCUGCUUUCUCAGUCAGAAAUGAGAACGUGGACAGUGUGGUGCUUGGUCUUGUCCUUCUUUGGAGCAAGAGCUAAGAUAACACAAAACUCAAGUCUGGUACUGAAAGAAGAUGAGAGUGCUACCCUGGGAUGCAGUCAAAAUGACAAUCACAAUAAUAUGUACUGGUAUCUGCAGCAGCCAGGAGAAGGGCUGCAGUUAAUCUAUUAUUCGUUCGGACCAAAUCAGGAAUAUAAAGGUGAUAUUCACGCUGGAUUCGAAGCUAAGCGGAUAAGCCGAGAAUACUUUCGUUUAGAUAUCAUGUCUGUGAAGAAGAACCAUUCAGCUACCUAUUUCUGUGCCUCAAAUUUGAACACAACACUUCAAAGUCACAUGCCUUCUGUACAUAAACUCCUCUCCAGUACCUUUCCUCAGAAGGGAGUAGCUUCAGCACAGGGUCAUGGUGUGUAGGUCAAGUGGCUACUCACAAAACAUAGGCUGCUGAGGAGCUGGUCCAAGAGAGGUCAAGCAGGUUCCGUUUCAUUGCUGAAUUCCUCUUUUCUGAUCAGCAGUUCACCCUCUAUCAGUCAUGACAGUUCUUAAAGUUUGUCAAUCAAAUCCAGACAUACAAUGAUACUCACUGUGCCUGGAAAGGUUGUCCUGAUAUCAAGCACUGAUAUAUAUUUUUAUUCAGAAAUUGGUGUUUUUAUUCAGAAAUUGCUUGCACAGUCCAGAUUUCUGCUGCAUGAAGCAUCAGUUUUAUACAUGCUACAUCUAUCCAUUUAUUCCUCAAACCUAUGUCUUUGCUGCAGCUUGAUAAGCUGUAAGACAAUUUCUGUCCAUUUAGUUUACUCCUUCCAUCCAUGGAUGAGUUGUGAGCACAUUUCUGGCAACCUUUGUGACGUUUCCUCUUGCAAGUUCUCAAAGUUCUCUUUUAUUUUGAGCAAGUCUUAAACAUCUGUUUUUUGAAGACAAAAAAAGUAGAAGGAGGAGCAAGCAGAAUGUGAUUUCAUUUACUGUGUGAUUUCUUGAUGGAAUGUUUCAUACAUGCACAAUGUAAAAUCACACACGAAUACCAAUCAGUGUCUUUCUUGUUAAGGAUCCUAAAGCAGUACCCCUCUCCCUGUGUCCUUCAUGCUGUUUAUUGCUGUUGAGGUGUAAGCGUUCAAUGAUGUAUUCCUAAAUUUUUACAAGCAAGAAAGCACCAAGCAAAGGUCUUGUGAUAUAUUGUAAAAUCCAACUGCAUAGUUCAAUAGUCCUGAAAUAAGCAAUAAGAAUAUUCUCUUUCCAGUCUGUAGUUUUUGAAGGGCUUAAAUAAAGGAUGUACAAUGACUACUCUGAAAAUAAUUUUUCCUUUUUUAAUAUGUUGUUCCACUACAUCAGAGUGAAAAUUAGGAGGUUAAACCUUCCUGCCUAUGUUCUGUUAUAUUUUUUUCCCUGUCACAGAUGGCAGCAGAGGGGCAGUAUGACAAAAUGAUAUCUGACAUGGAAUUGCAUAUGAAGCAACAGUAUGGAACCGAAUUCCUUCAUUAGGAAAAAAUUGCACCUGUUAACAUUCAUAGAAUCCUAGUCUGGUUUGGGUUGGAAGGGACCUAUUAAUCUAUUAAGAAGACCAAACAGUGUAUGUUAACACAGUGAAAGUCGGACUGUAAUGGGAUCUUUAUGCUAGCAACAAUAUCCUUGUGACAGCUGUGAAACAUUGGGUCACCUCUGCUGGUGCAGAUUUAUAUAAGUAAAGCAUGCAAACUCUUUUUUAUCACAGUGAAAAUGCAUAGCUGAUGGUGGUGGCUUUGCUGAAAAAAUAGUG